rnacentral:rRNA from 1 species
AUACGUAGGGGGCGAGCGUUGUCCGGAAUGAUUGGGCGUAAAGGGUGCGUAGGCGGCUAGGCAAGUCAGAUGUGAAAUCCCCGGGCUUAACUCGGGAGUUGCAUUUGAAACUGCUUAGCUUGAGUGCAGGAGAGGAAAGCGGAAUUCCUAGUGUAGCGGUGAAAUGCGUAGAUAUUAGGAAGAAUACCAGUAGCGAAGGCGACUUGCUGGCCUUUAACUGACGCUGAGGCGCGAAAGCGUGGGGAGCGAACAGGAUUAGAUACCCUGGUAGUCCACGCGGUAAACGAUGAAUGCUAGGUGUUGCUGGUAUCGACCCCUUCUGUGCCGCAGUAAACACAGUAAGCAUUCCGCCUGGGGAGUACGGUCUCAAGAUUAAAACUCAAAUGAAUUGACGGGG